rnacentral:rRNA from 1 species
AAAUUGAAGAGUUUGAUCAUGGCUCAGAUUGAACGCUGGCGGCAGGCCUAACACAUGCAAGUCGAGCGGUAGCACAGAGAGCUUGCUCUCGGGUGACGAGCGGCGGACGGGUGAGUAAUGUCU